UACGUAGGUGGCGAGCGUUGUCCGGAUUUACUGGGAGUAAAGAGCGCGCAGGCGGUCGUACAAGUCGCGUGUGAAAGCCCCUGGCUCAACUGGGGAGGGUCACGCGAUACUGUUCGACUCGAAGGCAGGAGAGGGAAGUGGAAUUCCCGGUGUAGUGGUGAAAUGCGUAGAUAUCGGGAGGAACACCAGUGGCGAAGGCGACUUCCUGGCCUGUUCUUGACGCUGAGGCGCGAAAGCUAGGGUAGCAAACGGG
rnacentral:rRNA from 1 species